rnacentral:rRNA from 1 species
CAGCGGCCGCGGUAAUACGUAGGGUGCAAGCGUUAAUCGGAAUUACUGGGCGUAAAGCGUGCGCAGGCGGUUAUAUAAGACAGAUGUGAAAUCCCCGGGCUCAACCUGGGAACUGCAUUUGUGACUGUAUAGCUAGAGUACGGCAGAGGGGGAUGGAAUUCCGCGUGUAGCAGUGAAAUGCGUAGAUAUGCGGAGGAACACCGAUGGCGAAGGCAAUCCCCUGGGCCUGUACUGACGCUCAUGCACGAAAGCGUGGGGAGCAAACAGGAUUAGAUACCCCCGUAGUCCCUGUCUCUUAUAC